rnacentral:lncRNA from 1 species
UUGAAUUAAAAUAGUAUAAAAAGAUUUGUAGGGGCUAAUUUUUAUGGUAAAAAAGUCAAUAAAAGAGGGAAAAUAAGAAAUGAAGGGGUACGGUGAAAUCCUUAAAGUUCCUUAUGCUGUUUGAAAAAAAAACAGAAGAAAAAUUUACCAUGAAAUAACAUGAAAAAUUAGAGACCUAUACGAAAUUUUCCCUUAUUUAUAUUAUUUAUCUUUUACAAACGUAUUUAUUUGUAUUUUAAUAGAGAAAAACACAAUGAUACC